rnacentral:rRNA from 1 species
CGCUUCGGCGGCAAACUUCUUAGAGGGACAGGUGGCGUUUAGCCACACGAAGUAGAGCAAUAACAGGUCUGUGAUGCCCUUAGAUGUCCGGGGCCGCACGCGCGCUACACUGAAAGAAUCAACGUGGAUGCCCACCUGCUCCGAGAGGAGUGGGAAACCCGAUGAAUCUCUUUCGUGAUGGGGAUUGGGGCUUGUAAUUGUUCCCCAUGAACGAGG